CAGCAGCCGCGGUAAUACUGAGGGUGCGAGCGUUAAUCGGAUUUACUGGGCGUAAAGCGUGCGUAGGCGGCUUCUUAAGUCGGAUGUGAAAUCCCUGAGCUUAACUUAGGAAUUGCAUUCGAUACUGGGAAGCUAGAGUAUGGGAGAGGAUGGUAGAAUUCCAGGUGUAGCGGUGAAAUGCGUAGAGAUCUGGAGGAAUACCGAUGGCGAAGGCAGCCAUCUGGCCUAAUACUGACGCUGAGGUACGAAAGCAUGGGGAGCAAACAGGAUUAGAUACCCCCGUAGUCCCUGUCUCUUAUAC
rnacentral:rRNA from 1 species